rnacentral:misc_RNA from 1 species
AAUUUUUCAAUCGGUACAGACAAUAUUGGCCCGUUAAACCAAACGAAGAGCAUUUUGGUCAUUUAGUCUUUAGAGAUGAUUUUUGGCCAACUUGUCCAGUUAAAUAAAUAAUUAUUAUGAAAUAAAAUAUAAAUAAAUAUUGCUAAAAAUUUAAUUGAAAAUGAGUAGAAAAGAAAAGAAAAGAAAAUGAAUUAAAAAUUAUAAUUUUGACCUCAUGCUUAUGUCACUAAGCAUUCCCACCCAAUCACAUUUUGACACCUCAUAAUAAACCCAAUUAAAGGAGUAAAAUAGACUGAAAAAUCAAAAGAAAAAUUCUGCUCUCUUUCUUUCUUCUUCCUUAGCCGUAUUUCACUCUUUCUCUAUCUCCAUUGAUGACUUCACUUCUCUCUAAAUUUCCUUCAUAAACACCCCCUCAAAUACUUUACUCCCUUCACAAAAACUUGUCAUCACCACUAGAGCAAGCUUAAGGUAGCAAAAAAAAGAGGAAAAAGAAAGGUUUUGGCAAGCUUGAGAGUAGCUCCAACAGGGUUAGUGC